rnacentral:rRNA from 1 species
CCAAAAAUCCGGGAAUCUCUAUGCCGAGCACCGAGACGAGUCCUAUGAGGACGAAGUGACUGACACCACGCUUCCAGGAAAAGCCACUAAGCUUCAGCUGUAGAAAAACCGUACCGCAAACCGACACAGGUAGGCAGGGUGAGAAUCCCAAGGCGCUUGAGAGAACUCGGGUGAAGGAACUAGGCAAAAUGGCACCGUAACUUCGGGAGAAGGUGCGCCUCUUGGUGUGGUCACGUGCGUGACUGAGCAUCGAGGGGUCGCAGUAACCUGGCCGCUGCGACUGUUUAUCAAAAACACAGCACUCUGCAAACACGAAAGUGGACGUAUAGGGUGUGACGCCUGCCCGGUGCUGGAAGGUUAAUUGAUGGGGUCAGCCGCAAGGCGAGGCUCUUGAUCGAAGCCCCAGUAAACGGCGGCCGUAACUAUAACGGUCCUAAGGUAGCGAAAUUCCUUGUCGGGUAAGUUCCGACCUGCACGAAUGGCGUAACGACAGCGGCGCUGUCUCCACCCGAGACUCAGUGAAAUUGAAAUCGCUGUGAAGAUGCAGCGUUCCCGCGGCAAGACGGAAAGACCCCGUGAACCUUUACUAUAGCUUUACACUGAACGUUGAGUUCUUCUGUUAGGAUAGGUGGGAGGCUAUGAAACCAGGACGCUAGUUCUGGUGGAGCCAUCCUUGAAAUACCACCCUGAAGUGCUUGACGUUCUAACCUAGGUCCGUAAUCCGGAUCGGGGACCGUGUAUGGUGGGUAGUUUGACUGGGGCGGUCUCCUCCCAAAGAGUAACGGAGGAGCACGAAGGUACGCUCAGCGCGGUCGGACAUCGCGCACUGUGUGCAAAGGCAUAAGCGUGCUUGACUGCGAGAUCGACGGAUCAAGCAGGUACGAAAGUAGGUCUUAGUGAUCCGGUGGUUCUGUAUGGAAGGGCCAUCGCUCAACGGAUAAAAGGUACUCCGGGGAUAACAGGCUGAUACCGCCCAAGAGUUCAUAUCGACGGCGGUGUUUGGCACCUCGAUGUCGGCUCAUCACAUCCUGGGGCUGUAGCCGGUCCCAAGGGUAUGGCUGUUCGCCAUUUAAAGUGGUACGCGAGCUGGGUUCAGAACGUCGUGAGACAGUUCGGUCCCUAUCUGUCGUGGGCGUUGGAGAUUUGAGGGGGGCUGCUCCUAGUACGAGAGGACCGGAGUGGACGUUCCGCUGGUGUUCGGGUUGUCAUGCCCAUGGCAUUGCCCGGUAGCUACGAACGGAAGUGAUAACCGCUGAAAGCAUCUAAGCGGGAAGCACGCCCCAAGAUGAGAUCUCCCGAGAGCUUGACUCUCCUAAAGGCACCAUCAAGACUAGGUGGUUGAUAGGCACGGUGUGGAAGUGCAGCAAUGCAUUGAGCUUACGUGUACUAAUGAGCCGUGAGGCUUGAC